GUGUUUUGCUGCAGGUCAAAAACUAGAACAAGUUACCGUGCUUUCAAGUGAACAAGUUAUUUUCAAGGAAGGAAAGUGAGCAGCUACACUGCAGGACUGGAAUCAGGACUUCCGCUUCAGAGGAUGGGGUGAGUAGCUAUUUGAAAUUCAUUUAUCAUAUGCUCUGUACCAGGUCCUGAGGUUUCUCUGUUUAUCUUGAGAAUAUUUUGGUGAUGUGUCCUUUUGCUCACUAAGGUCACUUACAUUAUUAAAUCUUUAUAACUUCUUCUUUUGU
rnacentral:lncRNA from 1 species